GGCUAUCCAAAUUCUCUCAAUUGCUGGGAGGAGCUGCCCAGGUGUGCUGAGGGGCCUGUACUCAGGAAGAGAAACAGGGAAUCCUCCACAGCACUAGAAAAACACCCCAACUCACCAAUGACAGCGAAGCAGAUAUUAGAAGUCAUUCAGAAAGAAGGGUUAAAAGAAACAAGUCUGGUUUCAGACCCCGGCAUGGCUUGGAGACAGCGUUGGUGUGUAUGAAGGAUCUUCCUCGAAUGAAGGAUUUGGGACAACUUUCCAUGAUGAUUAUAUUAGAGCCUCAGCUGCUUUCGUGUUGGUCAUGAGGUGAUGCUGAACCGAAUGCUUGAACUAGCAGGAGUGGCUGGGAUUGCAUUGGAGUGGUUCCGUUCAUUCCUUCCGGGUAGGUACCAGCUAGUGACGGGUGAAAAUGGACAUUGAGGGUCUUCCUGUAUGGAACCGCGUAGUUGUCACUCAUUCCCCUGUUCACGUUGAGUGGGUUUGAGAAGACAACUGGACGCCUGAAGGCCAGGCAGUGUGAUUCGAAUGACUGUGUAGAAGGUUAUGAGGGUGAUUCCCAGAUGGAUGUCGCUCACAUACGUUUUUUCUGUUUUGUCAGUGUGCUAGUGCAGACUAGAAUUGAAACUGAGAAGUGUGACUUGUUGGAAAGGGAAAAUUCGGGAGGCCCUGGUGUGCUUUCUAAUUCCUCUGUCUGAGUUACAGUUUGUGUAAACUGUGGCCAUAUUUUGACUACCAAUUUAUCUGUACAUGCAAAUCCUACCGCAACGUUAGAUAGAAAUGUUUUAUUUUGCUUUUCGUUAUAUAUCUGACCCUUCUUCCCUGUGAACGUUGACUGCAUCUCCGUGAUCUUUCUUGCUGAAGUCUGAUUGUUCACCCUUGUCCUUGGGGUUCUUCUAAGCGAAGUCGCCUGACUACAUUAAUAAAUAUUCUGGAGGGUGAUGGCUGGGUUUUCCCAGUAAAUGUUUUGCUUUAUCUUCACUAAGAGCACUUCGUUAUUCUAACCCUGUUUUCCUAAGAAUCAAAUUGGGUUGUACUUUUAAGGAGUUUUGCAGCACAAAUACUGUCUCUGUUUCUCUUUAAAUUGCCUAGGCAUUUAAAGUUUUUACAGAGAAUAUGCUAGAGUUUCUUCAAUUUUUGAGCAUGUGCUUUAGAAACUUGGUGCCUUUUCUUGGCUAUUGCUUAUUUAUGAAAUAUUACUUCAGUUAUUUUCCUUCAGGGCAAUGAAAAGCUUGGAGGAAGUUUAUUAAGCCUAAUAGUAGAAUACAGGUAAAAAACUGAAAAGAAGAAACACAGAUGUGUGUGUCUGUAAAUAUCAUUAGAACUGUCUGUUGAAUGUCAUUUUGGCAAAAGGGCAGGAAACUAACAUUUAUGCAGUAACUGAUCAGUGUCAGGCACUAAGCCAAGCAGUUUCUAUUUUUUAGUUCACUUAAUCCACACAGUAACAUUGAGAAGUAGGUGAUGUUUGUUCAUUUUACAGAUGAGGAAACUGAUGCUAGAGAAGUUAGGUAUUUUUGCCUAACUUCACACAGUUAUAGGUGGAAGAUCUGGUAUUUCAGUCUGGGUCUUGCUGAUUCCAAAGCUCAUUCUUUCCAUCACAGUGAAAUGUUAAGCCACAGGCAAAUGUUAGACUUGAAGUGGGGGUCCCAAAGGGGGAAAAAAAGAAGAAAAAGAAUGCCUAUCACACGGCCUGAGCAAACCAAGGAGGAAAUGAAAGACAGGAAUGUACUAGCAUCAGGAUUGUUUUGAAAAUUUCUAGAGUUUUGAAACUCAGUUUAACAAGCUAGGUGACAAAUGAACAAUUUUAGAAUUACCAAAGGUUUGCCACUUAAGGGAUAAAUAGGUUUAGAACAUUAGAUUUUUAUCUGUUUGGACAUUUGUUCAUUCUCUCUUUUGUUUUGAAAAUGAAGUUGGGAUACCCCACAUUGGAUCCCAGAAUAUUAUAAAGAUCAAUGCAAGGAGGCCAGUCAGGUA